rnacentral:tmRNA from 1 species
GGGGGCGAUCGGUUUCGACGGAAAGUUCUUUAAAAGGCUGCAAGCCAAGUUUGAUUCACACUUGUCAAAAGGGAUCAAAAAUAAUCGUCAAGAACCAAUCUUACGAUGUAGUCUACGCUUAAAAAACGUUUAUAGAUUACUGUCUUCCGGGUGCGUUUCUCAACCGCUCCAGAUAGGCAUAAACCAGUUGAGAUGCUGCAACUUGUUUGGUUUAAGGGGGUUGCUUAAGACUUUUAAACCUUACCUUGAGUUAUGCUUCUGAUUGCUAAGAUUCAAGGAAAAAAUAAUAAAUCAGAUAUGCUUGUAGAAGUCUUUUGAGGUUAUUUUUCGGACGCGGGUUCAAUUCCCGCCGCCUCCACCA